UUACGACUCCAUGUGAGAGAUGCUUAAACAAGGAGAGAGAAGACAUAUUUGCACAGUAUGUCAUUUAGGUGGUCUCUGUUAGGGGAGGUUUGCCCACCUAAUUUCUCUCAUUUCAUAUCUGAAUUCACAGGGUGAAUUGACAGGUUUCCCCAGAACUGGAGGGAAGCUGCAAUUCCCAACCCUGUCACUAGAUGACUACGUAACUGCAUCCAGAGUGGAAAGAGAAAGAAGACAUCUAGGCCCCAGAACCAGGAUGGUCCUAAAGUGGCUAUAAGCCAAAUUAGGCUUUUUCUAGGAGUCCUUCCAGAUAUCAAAUGAUGUUGGCUGUGAUGUCCCUCAACAGUGAUCUUCUCUUCAAGAGCUGCUUAUCUAUAAACUUUUCCUUGUCUCACUUUCUUUGGGUCAAGGAGAGGUAAAGGCUCCACUGCUGCUACUCCCAGGCUAUUGCACCAUCCUUUGUGGUUUCCCUGUACCCUGUCACACCUCUGUAAAUUGUCCUUCUGUAAAUAAACCUCCCUGAAACUA